rnacentral:rRNA from 1 species
CCUACGGGAGGCAGCAGUGAGGAAUAUUGGUCAAUGGGAGAGAUCCUGAACCAGCCAAGCCGCGUGAGGGAAGACGGCCCUAUGGGUUGUAAACCUCUUUUGUCGGAGAACAAAACCCGGGACGUGUCCCGGACUGCGUGUAUCCGAAGAAAAAGCAUCGGCUAACUCCGUGCCAGCAGCCGCGGUAAUACGGAAGAUGCGAGCGUUAUCCGGAUUUAUUGGGUUUAAAGGGUGCGUAGGCGGUCCGUUAAGUCAGCGGUAAAAGUGCGGGGCUCAACCCCGUCGAGCCGUUGAAACUGGCAGACUUGAGUUGGCGAGGAGUACGCGGAAUGCGCGGUGUAGCGGUGAAAUGCAUAGAUAUCGCGCAGAACUCCGAUUGCGAAGGCAGCGUACCGGCGCCAGACUGACGCUGAGGCACGAAAGCGUGGGGAUCGAACAGGAUUAGAUACCCGGGUAGUC